AACGAACGCUGGCGGCAGGCCUAACACAUGCAAGUCGAGCGCCCCGCGAGGGGAGCGGCGGACGGGUGAGUAACGCGUGGGAACGUACCUUUUGCUUCGGAAUAGCCUCGGGAAACUGGGAGUAAUACCGAAUGUGCCCUACGGGGGAAAGAUUUAUCGGCAAAAGAUCGGCCCGCGUUGGAUUAGGUAGUUGGUGGGGUAAUGGCCUACCAAGCCGACGAUCCAUAGCUGGUUUGAGAGGAUGAUCAGCCACACUGGGACUGAGACACGGCCCAGACUCCUACGGGAGGCAGCAGUGGGGAAUCUUAGACAAUGGGCGCAAGCCUGAUCUAGCCAUGCCGCGUGAGCGAUGAGGGCCUUAGGGUUGUAAAGCUCUUUCGUGGGGGAAGAUAAUGACUGUACCCCAAGAAGAAGCCCCGGCUAACUCCGUGCCAGCAGCCGCCGUAACAC
rnacentral:rRNA from 1 species